AUGGACUGAGACCUUGGGCAGAGAGCUGCGGGACGGGGUGACUCAGGGACUGACUGGGAAGGUGGGUCACAUCAAUAUGGACGCCUGUCAGUCAGGAGACACACACAGCCACACAAAAAUGUCAUUUUGUAUGCCCUUUCACAGGCCCAGGGACCAAAGAAAAAUCCGAACUAAAGCCUAUGAAAGGAUGUUUUAGACAUACAAAACUAGCCACAAAU
rnacentral:lncRNA from 1 species